GUCGGGAAUCUUGGGCAAUGGGCGAAAGCCUGACCCAGCAACGCCGCGUGAGGGAUGAAGGCCUUCGGGUCGUAAACCUCUGUCGGGAGGGAAGAACGGCAUCCACUCGAAUAGCGUGGGUGUUUGACGGUACCUCCAAAGGAAGCGCCGGCUAACUCCGUGCCAGCAGCCGCGGUAAUACGGAGGGCGCAAGCGUUGUUCGGAAUCAUUGGGCGUAAAGCGCGUGUAGGUGGCUUGGAAAGUUGGGUGUGAAAGCCCGGGGCCCAACCCCGGAAAUGCACUCAAAACUUCCUCGCUCGAGUCCCGGAGAGGAAGGCGGAAUUCCCGGUGUAGAGGUGAAAUUCGUAGAUAUCGGGAGGAACACCAGUGGCGAAGGCGGCCUUCUGGACGGUGACUGACACUGAGACGCGAAAGCGUGGGGAGCAAACAGG
rnacentral:rRNA from 1 species